rnacentral:rRNA from 1 species
GACGAACGCUGGCGGCGUGCCUAAUACAUGCAAGUCGAGCGGACUUUCAAGAAGCUUGCUUUUUGAAAGUUAGCGGCGGACGGGUGAGUAACACGUGGGCAACCUGCCUGUAAGACGGGGAUAACUCCGGGAAACCGGGGCUAAUACCGGAUAAUAUCUUUCUUCGCAUGAAGGAAGGUUGAAAGGCGGCGCAAGCUGCCGCUUGCAGAUGGUCCCGCGGCGCAUUAGCUAGUUGGUGAGGUAACGGCUAACCAAGGCGACGAUGCGUAGCCGACCUGAGAGGGUGAUCGGCCACACUGGGACUGAGACACGGCCCAGACUCCUACGGGAGGCAGCAGUAGGGAAUCUUCCGCAAUGGACGAAAGUCUGACGGAGCAACGCCGCGUGAGCGAAGAAGGUCUUCGGAUCGUAAAGCUCUGUUGUCAGGGAAGAACAAGUACCGUUCGAAUAGGGCGGUACCUUGACGGUACCUGACCAGAAAGCCACGGCUAACUACGUGCCAGCCGCCGCGGUAA